rfam:Syntrophaceticus schinkii strain Sp3 genome assembly, contig: SSCH_Contig_96
GGGACCUGUACUCGUUGCGGUGCAACGAUGGUCAAAGA